rnacentral:rRNA from 1 species
GUCCACGCCCUAACGAUGUCAACUGGUUGUUGGGUGCAUUAGUACUCAGUAACGAAGCUAACGCGUGAAGUUGACCGCCUGGGAGUACGGCCGCAAGGUUGAACUCAAAGGAAUUGACGGGACCCGCACAAGCGGUGGAUGAUGUGGUUUAAUUCGAUGCAACGCGAAACCUUACCUACCUUUGACAUGUACGGAACUCGCCAGAGAUGGCUUGGUGCUCGAAAGAGAACCGUAACACAGGUGCUGCAUGGCUGUCGU